GAUGAACGCUAGCGACAGGCUUAACACAUGCAAGUCGAGGGGCAUCGGGGCGUGGCAACACGCCGCCGGCGACCGGCGCACUGGUGAGUAACACGUAUGCAACCUGCCCAUCGGAGGGGGGAGUAACCCGUGGAAACGCGGCCUAAUACCCCGUACGCCUUUGGAUCGCAUGAUUUGGAGGUGAAAGAUCCGUCGGUCCGGGAUGGGCAUGCGGCGCAUUAGCUUGUUGGCGGGGUAACGGCCCACCAAGGCGACGAUGCGUAGGGGUUCUGAGAGGAAGGUCCCCCACACUGGUACUGAGACACGGACCAGACUCC
rnacentral:rRNA from 1 species